GACAGAGAGAGGGACCAGGCAGGAAAAAAAUCUCUCCUAAAAUCCUACCUGAAAUAAGCAUUUAAGAUUACCAAAAUUUCACAUACUGUACUGGACCCUUGCCCCAGGAGAAAGGCUCCAACAACAGGUGUUUUCAACAGCCCCUAGGGUGACACUUCAAACAACCUUUUGCAUAGCUCAGUUUCAUUUUGGGCAACAUGUCUGGAGCCAGGAGAUUUUUUUCAGAAGGAAACAUUUCAGGGAAAGCCCCCAAAUAUUUUGCAAGUUUGGGGUUGCCACUGUGGAGUUUUUCCUCCACUUUCUCUUUUCCACCUGGUCAUAACAAUAAAAAGGCGGGAAAGUCAUCCAUUUUCGGUUCCUGCCAUUUUCAGUGGGAAAAAAAAGAUUUGUCAAAAAUUCCCCAGGAUCUUCAUUUUGGAUUGACUUGAAAUACACUUAAAAGAAGAGGAUUUGAUGGGCUGAAUAUGAAGACUUUUAUUCUCUUCCCUGUCUCCAAAUUCCCCUGGUUGAAUAAUGCUGAUAAUGAAGUGCUGCUACUUUUACUUUAGUUUAUUUUGGGAUGGACUACUUUUUUUUCCAAGCUGGUGGAAGAACAUCAAAGUGGCGCUUUGAAAAAUGUCCCGAUGUAUAAAUAACUCUGCGGCGAACCUAAUCCAUUGUGCUUCUCACUCAGGAGAGCCAGACAGAAUCUGCUGCAGGAGACUGUGUUAUGAAAAAGAAUUAUUCAUUACCUUCCCUAAUUAACUGGGUAUUGGCAAAACAUCCUUGGAGAAUCGGGCUACCCAAAGUACUGUGUUCUCUGGUGCCCUGGCUCGGGAGCCUUUGGAAAUCUUGACUUUUGCCAAGCGCACCCCCACUUUUUGAGAUAGCAGAAUAAAGAAUGUAAAAUAUUUCAGUCCCAACCAACUCCUGCCAGAGACUGAUGGAAGCCACAUGAAAUUUAUUGAACACUGACCUACCACUGAUUGGGGAUAAAAUGUGAAGGCUUUGUAGCAAGUUGUUAUCAGGGAGUCCACAUACACAGGGAAUUGAUAUCUCUGGAAAACACCUGAUCUGACUGCAGCUUGGAAGGGUGAAAAAAAAGCCUUUUUCCCCACCAACUUCUCCCCACUCUGCUGAUUGCUGUGUGAUACAGAUGCAGCUAAACGGCUCUUGUCAGCACUGAGCUGCCGAAAAGCGCUCAGCGCAGCCUUUGAAGGAGGUUUAUUUGGACAGGUGUAGAUGUGCCUGAAUAAUUUACCUAGGAGUAGGGUGAGUCAAUCAGGGAUGCUGAGUGAGAUUAAUUGCAGGGCCUGAGAAGGCUGCAAGGGAGGGGGUUUUGUCUUUAAAUUAAUGGGUUUCAUGCAGCUCAGAUCUUCCUGGACUGACAGCCCUAGAGAUGGCUGCCCUCUGUGUCUUACCCACUGAGCGAGUGCAGCACAAACAGCUUCCCUCACCAAGCUCCAUCCCCGGGCUUCAACCGUGACCCACACAUAACACCCAUAGGACCCAGAGGGGGUUUGGUCUCCAGGGAUCCGAAGGAAAGAGGGUUGAAGUGGUAGCUUUUGCAAUGUGGAUGCCUGUCCACUAAGAAUGUGACUAAGGUCAACAGAGGUCAUUUCACUUGGGCCAUGGAAUGGGCAUGAGUUGGGGGCGUGAUCUGGGGUAACUAACACAUGCAGUCUCUUCCUGUGGCGUAUCCAGCCUGAUUAGCGGCUCCAAAUCCCCAUGGUUGAAUAAUGCUGAUAUAAUAAUGCUGGCUGUCUCCUGAGAAGAUGCCCAUGGACAUCAUCCAGCCACCCAAACUGAUCCCCCUUUGUGCCCCUCACUCGAACAACAGGUCCCACCCAAGCCAACAGAGUAAGGGUUCUUGUGCUGCUCUCUUGGCAGGAUCGGGUGCUAAUUUAGCAGGCCCAAGAAGUUCAGACAAUUGGGAUCCACAGCUGAAAUAUGAUCUGAUCCCAACCAGAUCCUCCAACCUGGCCAGGCUAAAUAGCUCUCUGAAGAAGGACGUGAAGGACUAAAUGGAGGUAGCAGGUGAUCACUCAGCAGUCCCCCCAAUGGAUCACUGUGAAGAGACUCACAGUGUAAUGCCCCAUCAUGAUGAGUACAGGAGGGGUUGGGUUUUGGUUUAGCAAAAGCUUAUUGGUUAAUUGGUUUUCUAAAGCCAAGUCUGGGAUAGUAGGAAUCUAGGUUGGGGUGAAGGAGAAGGAACAGGAUUCUUGUCAAUGUCAAUCUCUCAGCAGCUCACAAGGCCCAUGUAUAGAUGCACUGGGAGGGGAUGGAAUGACACAACCAGCCACCAGCCUUGAUGGCAGCUGCCAAGGAAAUCUAUUCAGUUUUCAUCUCCAGCCUGUGCAUGUGUCAGUGUGCAGAGAUGGGAGCCAGAGCCCAGCUGAAUCGAGCCCAGCCCUCUGUUGCUGCUGCUUGUCACAUGGAAUGACCAGAACUGCUCUGGUUCUGCCCCACCACAUUGUGACAUGAUUGUCUCUUGCUCGUUGGUCUCCCCAGCUCUUCACGGGGGUUGACUGCAGCAAUGACGUAAACUGGCAGCACGGCAGAACCCUUGGGGGGAGGGAGGGGGUUGAGUCACCACUGUGCUGGCUUCCCCUGUGGAGCCAUGUCCAUGGCAUGAUGUAUAGCAUCAGUGAUCCUGGCUUGUGAGCACUGAUGUGAGGCACGAGUGGCAUGCAGGGAAAUGGCUGAUACGAAGACCUGUCUCAGAGUAGCAGUCGUGUUAGUCUGUAUCCACAAAAAGAACAGGAGUACUUGUGGCACCUUAGAAACUAACAAAUUUAUUUGAGGAUAAGCUUUUGUGGGCUACAGCCCAC